CAUAUCAGUAGUUUCGGUAUACAUAAUAUUUACAUAAACUAACUUACCCUAUAACCAGUGCCAUCCCAAAUUCUCACUGAAAACAAUGGCCUUAAUAAUAAGGAAUAUAAUUAAUAGUUAGACACAGUUACUUGAUUAAAAGCAAUAUAAUAAUAAUCGCCAUUAAACAAGAACCGUGGUGGAUUUAAACAAAAGUGACAUAUUAUUCUAAAAAUUAGAAUACCUACGCUGAUUUCCAUAAUACAACUUUCUUUUCCCGUCCGUGUUUUGUAAUAUCGUUCGCCGCGCUACAGAAACACACAAUAAUAAUAAUAAUAAUAAUAAUAAUAAUAAUAAUUGCAAAAGUCCAUUUUAUCGCACCAAGUAAUAAGAAGAGACGAAAUGCAGACUCAUAAAAAUGUAUUAUAAUAUAUAACA